AGCCAGCAGCCGCGGUAAUACAGAGGUCCCAAGCGUUGUUCGGAUUCACUGGGCGUAAAGGGUGCGUAGGUGGUUGGGAAAGUCUGAUGUGAAAUCCCCGGGCCCAACCCGGGAAAGGCAUCGGAAACUGCCCGGCUUGAGGGUUGGAGGGGGGACUGGAAUUCCCGGUGUAGCAGUGAAAUGCGUAGAUAUCGGGAGGAACGCCAGUGGCGAAGGCGAGUCCCUGGACAACACCUGACACUGAGGCACGAAAGCUAGGGGAGCAAACAGGAUUAGAUACCCUGGUAGUCCUAGCCGUAAACGGUGCAUGUUUGCUGUGGGCGGAAUCGACCCCGUCCGUGGCGGAGCUAACGCGUUAAACAUGCCGCCUGGGGAGUACGGUCGCAAGAUUAAAACUCAAAGGAAUUGACGGGGGCCCGCACA
rnacentral:rRNA from 1 species